CAUAAGACAUUCCAAUUAGUCAAUUAAGGCUGAAAGAUUUUAUUUAUUUAUUUAUUUAUUUGUGUGUGUGUGUGAGAUUGACAACUUUAAAACAACAAUACAGCUUGGAUGAACAAUACAGCAUAGAUGAUAUGAAGCAUUGUAAGAAAGAAAAAGAUAAGGACAAAUAUUUGAGAGUUUUUUCCUUAAAGUUAUUGUUGCUUAAGAAAAGAAUGAUUUGAAUGUACAAGACAAGAUCACACUAUAAUAGGUCCGAUAGCUAUUAACUAAGCUAUUCAAGUAUAAUUAUCAAAGCAAUCCUCCCCACUGAAAAUAAUUAUAUAGUAGCUUUGUCUUUUCAUUUGCAUGAGCAAAAUGUGGCUAAACCAGCAUUUUUUGAAGUUCUUACUUCAAGCUUAGUAAUGAACUAAUUGCAUAGGAAACCACUGGACCUUCAGCACAACUGGUACUUCUCUCCCAACCAAAGGGGAAGAUUCAGAGCUCGAAUUGCAGGAAAGCAGUUCUAACUCAACCAUUGAAUGAAAGAAAGUAUACCAUACCAGAGAAAUUUUGCCAAAUAUUUUCCACACAUUCACAUUAUGAAAAGAAGAUUACCACACAUAAUAUUCAUUCACUUGCAUAAGCAAUACAUACAAUGAAGAAUUAAUGCUAUCGUAUAACAGGAUUCUCAAAUAACACAUGCUUAUAUUGAGAUAAUACAUAAAUUAUGCUGAUGAGAAAGUAGCUGAUCAGAGAUUUUCUCAAGCCAUUAAAGUACUGGAUGAUAUGCAGAUGAGAGAAGCUGACAAAUCACUGUCCUCAAAAUGUUCAUGGUGCAUAACUUAGAAACAUAACAUGGUGCUUUUCAAUCUAAACAGAUACUAAAGUCUAACCAUUAAUUUACACGAUUUCCCCUCAUAUUAGCUUAAAUGACUAUAAGCAAACCAUAAAACACCACCCCUGCUGCAUCCACCUUGCUGACAUGGUUACACACCAUGUAAAGAGCUAAUGGAGUAAAACUCUGUAAUAUAGAACUAAUAAUGAAUAGCCUCUGUCUCACUUUGCUUGUCGGUAUUUCUUCACAUUGAACUCGUGUACCUCAUCAAUCCAAUUAACCAUUUCACUCAAACUUCCUCAAAUUGAACUCUCAAUUAACUCAUAUUCUCAAAAUAUGAACUCACUAAACUCGCCUAAACACCAAGAAAAAAUCAGAGCCUUCGUGAUGAAAAGAAACCAAA